rnacentral:tRNA from 1 species
GGGCCCGUGGUCCAACGGUUACGAUGCCAAGCGAAAGCGCAUAAGCCUUACACGCUGGAGACAGGAGUUCAACUCUCCUCGGGCCCA